GACGAACGCUGGCGGCGUGGAUUAGGCAUGCAAGUCGAACGGUAUCAUCCUUUCGGGGGUGAGAGAGUGGCGAACUGGUGAGUAACACGUAGGUUAUCUACCCUCAAGACGGGGACAACCCAGGGAAACUUGGGCUAAUACCGGAUGUGAGCAACUUUUAGUUGUUUGAAAGGUGGCGUAAGCUGUCGCUUGGGGAUGAGCCUGCGUCCUAUUAGUUAGUUGGUGAGGUAACGGCUCACCUAGGCAAUGAUAGGUAGGCGGCCUUAACGGGUGUCGCCCACACUGGGAUUGAGAUACGGCCCAGACUCCUACGGGAGGCAGCAGUCGAGAAUAGUCUACAAUGGUCGGAAGACUGAUAGUGCGACGCCGCGUGAACGAUGAAUCCCUUCGGGGUGUAAAGUUCUUUUAUAUGUGAGCAGUGCUUCUUAUAUUAACAGUAUGGGGAGAGAGAUAUUAGCAUAUGAAUAAGCAACGGCUAACUCCGUGCCAGCAGCCGCGGUAAU
rnacentral:rRNA from 1 species